ensembl:snRNA U1 U1 spliceosomal RNA
AUGGUUAAUAAUGGAUAGUUUUCUCUCUCUGGGUGAGGCUUAUCCAUUGCACACCUGAUAUGCUGACCCCUGCGAUUUCCCCAAAUGUGGGAAAGUUGCCCGCCUAAUUUGUGGUAAUGGGGGACUGUGAGUUCCUGCUUUCCCCUG